rnacentral:rRNA from 1 species
UAUGGAGGGUGCAAGCGUUAUCCGGAUUCACUGGGUUUAAAGGGUGCGUAGGUGGGCAGGUAAGUCAGUGGUGAAAUCUCCGGGCUUAACCCGGAAACUGCCGUUGAUACUAUCUGUCUUGAAUGUAGUGGAGGUGAGCGGAAUAUGUCAUGUAGCGGUGAAAUGUGUAGAGAUCGGGAGGAACACCGGUGGCGAAGGCGGGUCUCUGGGCAAUUCCUGACGCUGAGGCGCGAAAGCGUGGGGAGCAAACGGG